rnacentral:rRNA from 5 species
CUGUGUGUUGUUGGGUAGGGGAGCGUUCUGUAAGCCUGUGAAGGUGUGUCGUGAGGCAUGCUGGAGGUAUCAGAAGUGCGAAUGCUGACAUAAGUAACGAUAAAGCGGGUGAAAAGCCCGCUCGCCGGAAGACCAAGGGUUCCUGUCCAACGUUAAUCGGGGCAGGGUGAGUCGACCCCUAAGGCGAGGCCGAAAGGCGUAGUCGAUGGGAAACGGGUUAAUAUUCCCGUACUUGGUGUUACUGCGAAGGGGGGACGGAGAAGGCUAUGUUGGCCGGGCGACGGUUGUCCCGGUUUAAGCGUGUAGGUGUGUGUUCCAGGUAAAUCCGGUUCACUUUAACACUGAGGCGUGACGACGAGGCACUACGGUGCUGAAGCAACAAAUGCCCUGCUUCCAGGAAAAGCCUCUAAGCAUCAGGUAACAUCAAAUCGUACCCCAAACCGACACAGGUGGUCAGGUAGAGAAUACCAAGGCGCUUGAGAGAACUCGGGUGAAGGAACUAGGCAAAAUGGUGCCGUAACUUCGGGAGAAGGCACGCUGACACGUAGGUGAAGUGAUUUACUCAUGGAGCUGAAGUCAGUCGAAGAUACCAGCUGGCUGCAACUGUUUAUUAAAAACACAGCACUGUGCAAACACGAAAGUGGACGUAUACGGUGUGACGCCUGCCCGGUGCCGGAAGGUUAAUUGAUGGGGUCAGCGCAAGCGAAGCUCCUGAUCGAAGCCCCGGUAAACGGCGGCCGUAACUAUAACGGUCCUAAGGUAGCGAAAUUCCUUGUCGGGUAAGUUCCGACCUGCACGAAUGGCGUAAUGAUGGCCAGGCUGUCUCCACCCGAGACUCAGUGAAAUUGAACUCGCUGUGAAGAUGCAGUGUACCCGCGGCAAGACGGAAAGACCCCGUGAACCUUUACUAUAGCUUGACACUGAACAUUGAGCCUUGAUGUGUAG